UAUAUGUGGCUGUUGAAGCAGAGGAAUUGGUCAUAAGUGGGAUAAAAUUUGCUGCAUUUAGUGGCAGUUGAGCACCAGACUUCAGGAGACCUAAUCAGGGGGAGUCCAGAGAAAAAGAGAAAGCUUUAGAAAUUAUGGCCUACAGGAGAAGAUUGAGGCAAUUGUGACUUUUGAGGAGAAAAGCAACAAGGGAAACAUGAUAGUCCAAUCUUCCAAAAUUCUAUUGCUGAUGAGAAGUUUCUUCUCCAUGCCAGGGCAAAAAGUUAGUUGGCAAGGGAAAUUUAGUCUAAUAAUGAGGCUAAAUUAGGCUUAGCCUAAGAUUUCCAAUGGUUUGAAAUAGGUGUUGGGAUAGACUGACCGAAGAGGUGAUAUAAUCUCAGUCACUGGAGGUUUUAAUCCUUAUCACUGGAUAUUUUUAAGACCAAGGGAUACAUAUGCAAGAGGAAUUCAGCAGAGGUGCAGGGUUUGUAACCCUUCUUCAGUGCUUUCAUGUGUCUCAUUCUGCAACUAAUACGUACACAUACAAAAUCUGUUCAACACGAUGUAUUCAUCAAUCUCUGGCUUCUGAGCUGUUUGUCAUUCGGAACAGGCCACUCUCUCCCGGGUGACUGGAGCACUCCUUGAUCCCCCAACUGAAACGAUUAUGGCCAAAGAUAAUUAAACUAACAAAAGGCAAACAGCGAAUAGCAAAUAAGGAGUAUCGACCCUGACUGAGCAGCAGCAGGAAAUCCAGGCCCUAAACACUGAGGUCACCACGUGAGAGAUGCUUCAGGAACAGCAGAAGCGAGGAGUUCUUGUCCUGAUGAAUUUUGAGUUGAUGACUCCACCAAACUCUCCAGAAGAAAGAGAAACACAAAGGUUUAGUGGCUGAUAUGAGAACCUGGAGUGGGUUAUUGGUAAAAUGAGCCCCUCCCUGUACUACUUUAAAUCAAUCAAGGCUGGGUUGCAAUCUCCAGGUCCUGGGAAUGCGAGGAAUUAAAACCAGUUCCAGCAGUUUAACAUCCUGCUUCAGGAUAACCUCUGAUAUUCUGAACUGGGCCAUUUUUCUCAUGAAAACACCUUUCUCAGCUCGAAGAAUUAUGUAGCACUUGCCCUCAAAGCCUUGGUAAUUGCUGCAGGUAACCCCUUGGAUAACUCAGCGCUCCGUUUGCACCACUCCUAAAUGUCCCUCUUGAAGUAAUUUAGGGAAGGGAGGUCACCCCACCAACACAGGGACAUUUAUCUAACACAGAGGUAGCUCUGCAUUUUAUAUCACACCUCGUUUUUUUGUCCUUACGUUGGACAAAGGACAUAGGAAAAUUACAACCUUUUUAGAGUUAAUAAGUGUAGGUGGCUCUGAGUAGAAGAUGUUUCACUAAAUUCUGAAAGCUCCUCUGUGUCACAUGUUUUAACCUCUAAAUAUUUGAAUUAUCUGCCCGAAAUCAUUAACUUCCAGUGGAAGACACCUCCAAAUGCCAGCAGAGACAGAAUCAUUCCUACCACUGGCGAAGAGAGGAUGCAAAUGGCUCCUUUAAAUAUAUUCAACUUUUUUUCCUAAAUUCUCUGGGCCAUCAAUAACCCAGUUUCUUUUCCUGUGUGUUGC